rnacentral:tRNA from 1 species
GUUAGUGUAAUUUAUUU